rnacentral:rRNA from 1 species
GACGAACGCUGGCGGCGUGCUUAACACAUGCAAGUCGAACGGAAAGGCCUGCUUUCCCUUGUGGAUUGCGGGUGCUCGAGUGGCGAACGGGUGAGUAACACGUGAGUGAUCUGCCCCCAACUUGGGUAUAAGCCCGGGAAACUGGGUCUAAUUCCCGAUAGGACUGCAGGGUGGUGCCUGUGGUGGAAAACGAUUUUCUAGUGGUUGGGGAUGAGCUCGCGGCCUAUCAGCUUGUUGGUGGGGUAAUGGCCUACCAAGGCGGCGACGGGUAGCCGGCCUGAGAGGGUGGACGGGCACAUUGGGACUGAGAUACGGCCCAGACUCCUACGGGAGGCAGCAGUGGGGAAUAUUGCACAAUGGGCGGAAGCCUGAUGCAGCGACGCCGCGUGGGGGAUGACGGCCUUCGGGUUGUAAACUCCUUUCGACCGCGAGGAAGCCACCUGGUUGGAAGGGUGGUGACGGUAGUGGUAGAAGAAGCACCGGCUAACUACGUG